CUGGCAGUGACAGGAGACAAAGACUAAAAACUCUGGAGUGAAUGGAAAGAAAAGAGCCAGAUAAAUGACUCAGGCUCCAAGCAAGCAUAUUUGAAUGCAGACUAGUUUCUAAAGGGCAACUGGAUAUUUAUCCUUGAAACCCAGCCACCAUGUUUUGAGGAAGCUUGGGCCAUAUGCAGAGGCCACAUGUAGGUGUUCAGCCCACAGCCGUCACCAGCCACCAGUUGGCUUUUCAGAGACGACAAGAGGAGAAGGCAGGCUGGCACCAGUCAGUGCUCAAGAGAGAGGGAAGGAGUCUUAGUAAUUCAAAAGCCCUCAGCAGUCCUGGAAAGAAAGCAGUCCUUACAAACAGGAAGUAAUAAA